UCUGGCUGAGGAUAAUCGGGAAGCUGGUAGACCAUUCGUGGUUAGUCCAGCGCUGCCCCCGCAACGGUGAUUGGUGAGAUUUGUUAGUCGGCACUAAAUAAUUAGUGCUGACACCCACUGCGAAUAUAUUUCGUGGGAAGGGAAUGAAUCAGGUAUCAACUGAUACACACCAUAAGCCCGUAGACCGGCCAGAUGUUUUUU
rnacentral:ncRNA from 1 species